rnacentral:rRNA from 1 species
AUUGAACGCUGGCGGCAGGCCUAACACAUGCAAGUCGAACGAGUGGCGGACGGGUGAGUAAUGUCUGGGAAACUGCCUGAUGGAGGGGGAUAACUACUGGAAACGGUAGCUAAUACCGCAUACCAUCGGAUGUGCCCAGAUGGGAUUAGCGAGUAGGUGGGGUAAAGGCUCACCUAGGCGACGAUCCCUAGCUGGUCUGAGAGGUUGACGGGCCACACUGGAACUGAGACAAGGGCCAGACUCCUAAGGGAGGCAGCAGUGGGGAAUAUGGCACAAUGGGCAAAAGGCGGAUGCAGCCAGGGCGCGUGUAUGAAGAAGGCCUUCGGGUUGUAAAGUACUUUCAUCGGGGAGGCGUUACCCGCAGAAGAAGCACCGGCUAACUCCGUGCCAGCAGCCGCGGUAAUAC